rnacentral:rRNA from 1 species
AGCGAACGUUAGCGGCGCGCUUAACACAUGCAAGUCGCACGAGAAAGGGCUUCGGCCCCAGUAAAGUGGCGCACGGGUGCGUAACACGUAGGCAAUCUUCCCUUGAGCGGGGGAUAACGUUUCGAAAGAGACGCUAAUACCGCAUAAGACCACGACCGGUUCGCCGGUUGCGGUCAAAGCUGGCCUCUUCAUGAAAGCUAGCACUUAAGGACGAGCCUGCGGCCCAUCAUGCAGUUGGUAGGGUAACGGCCUACCAAGGCGAAGACGGGUAGCUGGUCUGAGAGGAUGAUCAGCCACACUGGAACUGAAACACGGUCCAGACUCCUACGGAGGCAGCAGUGGGGAAUAUUGGACAAUGGGCGAAAGCCUGAUCCAGCGACGCCGCGUGAGUGAUGAAGGCCUU